ensembl:lncRNA novel transcript
UGGAGAACAAAGCGUCCUAGGAAGAUAAAAUGAUGUGAAUGUGUCCAGUUCUCCUUAUUGUUGAGGACAGAUCUAUCAGACCAUCAGAGGCUGAUGCCUUGAAACAUACGAGUUAUCCAGUCCACUAUCGUCAUUCUGAUUCCAUGCUCGUGAGCUACCUUCUGAUAAUCGAACUUCCCAGGAUGUUUUUCUACAGGGAGAGAAUGUUCUGGUGUGCUGGAAAGAUUAUUGUUGGCAACAACAUCCAUUCAUUCUGCCAACGUUGGUGAGCACCUGCAUUGGACCAGACCCCAGGUGGCAUUUACCAUUGAAUUUAGGACCCAUUUGGAUAAUCCAGGAUGAUCUCAUCUCAUCUCAAGAUCCUUAACUUCACUUUAUCUACAGUGACCCUAAUUUCAAAAAUUAUGCCUGGUGCCUAAACUCCCUGAGCCAUGUGGGCUUGGCUGUCUGAACAAGCCUCUUCUGUCAUAAGCUGGCUGAAACCACAGAUGCAGAGCCCACAGAUAGAGCUGAACGUACUUAUUGAACAUUUGUAUUUAUGUGUCUAUCAAUUAUCUUCUCGUAUCAUUUUCUGUAUAUUAUAUUGAAUGCUAUAGUUUUGUUCAUACCUACAAAAAUUACAUUUUAAAAUCGUUUUACCCUAAAACUCAACUGUGAGCAAUUUAUCCCAUAAAAAUGUGUUUUAAAGAAUAUAAAAACAUACCUACAAGUAAUUCACCAGGGCAUAAUUUAAAAUAAUUCACAAAAAAUGUUGUAGGGAGGGGGAAGCCCUAAAUUUUCUUUGAAACAGAAAUGAUUCCAUUAUCGCACAUUCAUUAAGCAAAAAUCUAAAUGACUAUUAAAAACUUGUUCCAUAUGUGAUGGUAUGAAACAAUAUCAAGAUUUUCUGAAGAAAACCCAAGGAAAUUUUAAAAGCAAUUGCUCAAAAGAAUUGAAAUAGGAAAUCCAGAUGGGAGAGGUAUCUGGAUGGAGUAUUUUUACUUUAUGCCAUUCUGUACUUUUUAUAAUGAGAACAUGUUAUUUUAUAACAAAUAAAGAAACCUUUUUAUAUCAAGAUAAAACAUAUUCUUCAAAAAAUUUUUAGACCUAGAAAUUCAGACUGGCAAAAGAAGGAAACUAACACAAUACAUACAACUAGAAAAAUGAUUAGCAAUUCCAUUGUUGAAUACCCUUUUGUUAUUUACCUAUGUAUAUCAAUGGAUUUUUAUGCUGCAUUGUUUUGCAAUCUAUGUUUUUCACUUAACAAUAUAAUUUUCCAAUAUUAAUAGUCUCUACAGCAUUCUUUUUGAUAUCUAUAAACCUGCCCCUUGUACUGUAACAUAUUUUGCUAAUCGUUUUCUUCUGGCAUUUUUUUUCAUGUUUUCACUAUAAUAAAUAAUGCUUCAAUAAAAUUUAUAUUGCUAUAUCUUUGUAUACUUUCCUAAUGCUUAUACUAACACUUUCAUAUAUAUUAUUUUUCACUAACAGCAUCAUCAAAACUUCAUGUACAAUACCACCAAUUGUGCUGCUGGUAUUUUAUGCACAAAAUUGAGGUCAACAGAAUGAAUUUUGAUGCUCUGUUCACUACAGGAACAAAAAUUGUGAGGAAAAGAAUGAUCAGUGCAAACUUGCUAGGACUGUCACCCAGAUUCUCCCAAAAGAGACUUUUCAAAUCAGGCAAGCAAUGUUAUUUUUAAACAAAAGUUCAAAAACAUGUUUAAGAUAAUAUAUUGGUUGUGACCAAAUUUAUAACUUAUCAAAAUUCUGUUUUUGUGAGCUUCACAUAUGUUUUCUAGAACAGGUCAAACUAUUAAAGAAUACCAUUAUUUAACCAUUUUGGACCAGUAAAAAUGAAAAUUUCUUAUACAGUCUAAUGUUCUAUAUUUUUUUUCUAAGAAUAAAAGCCACCUAUUAAAUAUUUAUGGUGAUAGCUUGUUGUUCCAGAUUUUAUUAAAUGUUUUGGGUCAUGGGUAUGAUUUAUGGCUUACUGGAACCUAGAUAAGAAAUAUGAUUUCCAUCUUUAAUAUUAUAUAUGGGAAAAUGUUUUACAGCAUUGAUUUCUAGGAACACGUUCAGCAUAACUGUCACUUCCAGAAGUUACAAAAAGAAAAUUAUAAAUAUUGGGCUAUUUUCCUAAUUUUGUGAAACUGUACAAAAUUUAAGAAUUAUUGGACAAAAGAUAUUUAGAAUCCUUUGGGAAAGGAAUGUUAAGAUCAGUAUACAUUUAGUGAUAUGAAUACUAUAUUUUAUCUAUGAGUUUCCUUUUUACCGCAUAGGAACAAAUAGAUAAAAUACUGAAAUAUUUAUCUUAAUUGGGCAUUCUUUGUUUCUUUCACCAGAAUUCUGAGAUAAGAAAACAAGCUUUUCCCUUUGGGACCCACUUAGUCAUUUUGAUAGAAAAGCAUAUUUAACUGCUGUCUUUGGAAUAUUCUUUAGUAUAUUUUUGAUUUAAAAAAAUCUAUCCUUUACUUGCACAUUACAGUUAUGGAGAUAAAGAGAUAGCUCCUUAAGUACUAACGCGAAGAGGGGAAUAAAAGGAAUGGAGGCAACGUCACUUGGGUUCCCAAAGCAUCAUCACCCUACAGAGACAGAGUUCUUGACUUUGCCAUUAGCGACAGUUGGGGCUGUUAAAGUCAAAUAAAAAUAUAGAAACAAAUCACUAUGCAAAGUGUUUCAUUUGGGAAUGCAUAUAAAAACAGAAUCACUAUUUAGGGCAUACAUACAGAAUGGCAUGGUCUUUGGCAUGUUUGAAGAACAAAGAAAAGGUUGGAAGUUCUAUUAGAAAGGGACAUGUUACACAUUUGAAAGGAAGCUCAGUGGCACUAGUGAAGUUUUGGGGACCUGACACUCUUUAAUUAGUGAAUGACAAUGGUAGGUAAAACUGGUCUUAACGUCACAGCACACAUCUAGUCCGUAUCAGCAGCCACUAGGUAAAACUGAUCUUAAGGUUACAGCAGGCCAUUUCAGCAGCCAAGCUGGUGGAUCAUUCUUGGACCAAGUGCUAUGUGCGCCAGACUGCUCUCUCCCCUGACCUUUCAACUCUGAUUUCGUUGGGUAUGACAAGAAUAGCCCAGUUUGUAUAAUCAAAUUUCACAUUUCCCCAUUUUGAUCAAGAUCUUUCUCUCAAAAUGUCACUGAUUAACUAUUCUGAGGUUAGGCGUAAUUGUCCCUCACUGCAGGGUCUGAACCUGUCCGAGUUUCCUCUGUCCUACUUUUGGGGGUUAGGUAUGAGAGUCCAUGUCAGGGACCUGGGCCACAUUUAGCAAAAGAGAGGCCAAAAGGAAAAUCUUUCUCAUUGCAGCUUUGCCUGGAGUUCAACAUUGAGUUUCACUGUAUUAGACCCAUAGGUAUUAGCAAUCAUCUCAAGACACUGGGCUAACAUUAUCUUGUUGGGAGUGCUGGCUUUACAA